rnacentral:tRNA from 1 species
GGGCCUGUGGUCUAGUGGCUAUGACACCGCCUCGACACGGCGGAGAUCACCAGUUCGAACCUGGUCAGGCCCA